rnacentral:rRNA from 1 species
GUGGGGAAUAUUCCGCAAUGGACGAAAGUCUGACGGAGCAACGCCGCGUGAGUGAUGAAGGUUUUCGGACUGUAAAGCUCUGUUGUUUAGGACGAAAGUGCCUGUUGCGAAUAGUUACAGGUAUUGACGGUACUGAACGAGGAAGCCACGGCUAACUACGUGCCAGCAGCCGCGGUAAUACGUAGGUGGCAAGCGUUGUCCGGAAUUAUUGGGCGUAAAGAGCAUGUAGGCGGGAAUCUAAGUCUGUUGUGAAAAUGCGGGGCUCAACCCCGUAUUGCGAUGGAAACUGGGUUUCUUGAGUGCAGGAGAGGAAAGGGGAAUUCCCAGUGUAGCGGUGAAAUGCGUAGAUAUUGGGAGGAACACCAGUGGCGAAGGCGCCUUUCUGGACUGUGUCUGACGCUGAGGCGCGAAAGCUAGGGGAGCGAACGGGAUUAGAUAUCCCGGUAGUCC